rnacentral:rRNA from 1 species
UACGUAGGGGGCAAGCGUUGUCCGGAUUUAUUGGGCGUAAAGAGCGUGUAGGCGGCUAGGUAGGUCCGUUGUGAAAACUCGAGGCUCAACCUCGAGACGCCGAUGGAAACCCCCUGGCUAGAGUCCGGAAGAGGAGAAUGGAAUUCCUGGUGUAGCGGUGAAAUGCGCAGAUAUCAGGAAGAACACCCGUGGCUAAGGCGGUUCUCUAGUACGGUACUGACGCUGAGACGCGAAAGCGUGGGGAGCGAACAGG